rnacentral:rRNA from 1 species
CCUACGGGAGGCAGCAGUGAGGAAUAUUUGUCAAUGGACGAGAGUCUGAACCAGCCAAGUAGCGUGAAGGAUGACUGCCCUAUGGGUUGUAAACUUCUUUUAUAUGGGAAUAAAACGUUCCACGUGUGGGAUUUUGUAUGUACCAUAUGAAUAAGGAUCGGCUAACUCCGUGCCAGCAGCCGCGGUAAUACGGAGGAUCCGAGCGUUAUCCGGAUUUAUUGGGUUUAAAGGGAGCGUAGGUGGAUUGUUAAGUCAGUUGUGAAAGUUUGCGGCUCAACCGUAAAAUUGCAGUUGAAACUGGCAGUCUUGAGUACAGUAGAGGUGGGCGGAAUUCGUGGUGUAGCGGUGAAAUGCUUAGAUAUCACGAAGAACUCCGAUUGCGAAGGCAGUUCACUGGACUGCAACUGACACUGAGGCUCGAAAGUGUGGGUAUCAAACAGGAUUAGAUACCCGAGUAGUC